rnacentral:rRNA from 1 species
AGUGAACGCUGGCGGUAGGCCUAACACAUGCAAGUCGAACGGCAGCACAGUAAGAGCUUGCUCUUACGGGUGGCGAGUGGCGGACGGGUGAGGAAUACAUCGGAAUCUACUUUUUCGUGGGGGAUAACGUAGGGAAACUUACGCUAAUACCGCAUACGACCUACGGGUGAAAGCAGGGGAUCUUCGGACCCUGCGCGAUUGAAUGAGCCGAUGUCGGAUUAGCUAGUUGGCGGGGUAAAGGCCCACCAAGGCGACGAUCCGUAGCUGGUCUGAGAGGAUGAUCAGCCACACUGGAACUGAGACACGGUCCAGACUCCUACGGGAGGCAGCAGUGGGGAAUAUUGGACAAUGGGCGCAAGCCUGAUCCAGCCAUACCGCGUGGGUGAGGAAGGCCUUCGGGUUGUAAAGCCCUUUUGUUGGGAAAGAAAAGCAGCAGGUUAAUACCCCGCUGUUCUGACGGUACCCAAAGAAUAAGCACCGGCUAACUUCGUG